GAUGAACGCUAGCGGCAGGCUUAACACAUGCAAGUCGAGGGGCAGCACGGGUAGCAAUACCUGGUGGCGACCGGCGCAAGGGUGCGUAACGCGUGAGCAACAUGCCCUAUACAGGGGGAUAAUCCAGGGAAACUUGGUCUAAUAUCCCAUAGUAUUUAGAGGGGGCAUCUUCUAUAAAUUAAAGCUUCGGUGGUAUAGGAUUGGCUCGCGUGACAUUAGCUAGAUGGUGAGGUAACGGCUCACCAUGGCAAUGAUGUCUAGGGGUUCUGAGAGGAAGGCCCCCCACACUGGGACUGAGACACGGCCCAGACUCCUACGGGAGGCAGCAGUGAGGAAUAUUGGACAAUGGACGCAAGUCUGAUCCAGCCAUGCCGCGUGAAGGAUUAAGGUCCUCUGGAUUGUAAACUUCUUUUAUAAGGGACGAAAAAAGGUCUUUCUAGAUCGUCUGACGGUACCUUAUGAAUAAGCACCGGCUAACUCCGUG
rnacentral:rRNA from 1 species